AAUAGAUACCCGGUAGUCCACCCCGUAAACGUUGGAACUAGUUGUGGGUCCAUUCCACGGAUUCCGUGACGCAGCUAACGCAUUAAGUUCCCCGCCUGGGGAGUACGGCCGCAAGGCUAAAACUCAAAGGAAUUGACGGGGACCCGCACAAGCGGCGGAGCAUGCGGAUUAAUUCGAUGCAACGCGAAGAACCUUACCAAGGCUUGACAUAUAGAGGAAACGGCUGGAAACAGUCGCCCCGCAAGGUCUCUAUACAGGUGGUGCAUGGUUGUCGUCAGCUCGUGUCGUGAGAUGUUGGGUUAAGUCCCGCAACGAGCGCAACCCUCGUUCUAUGUUGCCAGCACGUAAUGGUGGGAACUCAUGGGAUACUGCCGGGGUCAACUCGGAGGAAGGUGGGGAUGACGUCAAAUCAUCAUGCCCCUUAUGUCUUGGGCUUCACGCAUGCUACAAUGGCCGGUACAAAGGGCUGCAAUACCGUAAGGUGGAGCGAAUCCCAAAAAGCCGGUCCCAGUUCGGAUUGAGGUCUGCAACUCGACCUCA
rnacentral:rRNA from 1 species